CCUUAUCGAACGGUUUAUUAUUACAUCAAAAUCUAAAAGUUAGAUGCAUACACAAUUUGACUAUUUAAAGUCGUUUUCGCUAGUGAAACUAUGGUUAUUGGAUAUAUAUUAAAAAACCAAAAAAUUUAAAUUUUACACAAGUUACAUUCAUGAGGUUUUUUUUCUGUAUAUGUCUAAAGUCUAUUCUUUACGGUUUAGGAUUGUUCUUUUUAAUACUAAAGGAAAAAGUUUUUAAUUUACUCGGGUGUUAUUGCAUUUGAGAGACAAAAAAAAAAUUGAUAUUAUAAAUAAUUAACAGAACACAAAUUCGUCCUACCGAUAUUUUUUCAAUGUAGGAGGACGAUACUUUUAGUUGUUUUUAUCGAUCAGAAAGGAAAACAGGUCGUAGCACCAAUGUUUUAGCUCUGAUUUAUCGAUCAUUACCAGCAACAUAGCGAUGACAUUCCUUAACGAUAUUUCUAAAAUAUUGUAUACCAUUUCUAAUGACAUCUGGUGUUUGAUAAAUAACUUUUAUUGAGUCUUAUACAACGUCACAUUUAAAUGGCUUCUCUCUGUUAUGAAUCUUUCAUUAAUUAUACUUUUAUUAUGUUUUCAUAUAAGCAUUAUUACAUGAAUUACGUUCAUAAGGAUUUUUUAGUAUGCCCUUAAACCCUUUAUCAAACGGGUUUAUUUUUACUUCAAAAUCUAAAAGUUAGAUGCAUACACAAUUUGACUAUUUAAAGUCGUUUUCGCUAGUGAAACUAUGGUUAUUGGAUAUAUAUUAAAAAACCAAAAAAUUUAAAUUUUACACAAGUUACAUUCAUGAGGUUUUUUUUCUGUAUAUGUCUAAAGUCUAUUCUUUACGGUUUAGACUUGUACUUUUUAAUACAAAAGUAAAAAGUUUUCAAUUUCCUCGGGUGUUAUUGCACUUGAGAGACAAAAAAAAACUUGAUAUUAUGAAUAAUUAAAAAAAAACAAAUUCAUCCUACCAAUAUGUUUUCAAUGUAGGAGUAUGAUAUAUUUAGUUGUUUUUAUCGAUCAGAAAGGAAAACAGGUCGUAGCACCAAUGUUUUAGCUCUGAUUUAUCGAUCAUUACCAGCAACAUAGCGAUGACAUUCCUUAACGAUAUUUCUAAAAUAUUGUAUACCAUUUUAAAAGAUAUCUGGUGUUCGAUAAACAAUUUUUAUUGAAUCUUAUACAACAUCAUAUUUAAAUGGCUUCUUUCUGCUAUGAAUCUUUGAUUAUUUAUACUUUUAUUAUGUUUUCAUAUAAGAAUUGUUACAUGAAUUACGUUCAUAAGGGUUUUAGUAUGCCCUUUAACCCCUUAUCAAACGGGUUAUUAUUACAUCAAAAUCUAAAAGUUAGAUGCAUACACAAUUUGACUAUUUAAAGUCGUUUUCGCUAGUGAAACUUAUGCUUAUUGGAUAUAUAUUAAAAAAACAAAAAAUUUAAANUGUUUGAUAAAUAACUUUUAUUGAGUCUUAUACAACAUCACAUUUAAAUGGCUUCUCUCUGUUAUGAAUCUUUCAUUAUUUAUACUUUUAUUAUGUUUUCAUAUAAGAAUUGUUACAUGAAUUACGUUCAUAAGGGUUUUAGUAUGCCCUUUAACCCCUUAUCAAACGGGUUAUUAUUACAUCAAAAUCUAAAAGUUAGAUGCAUACACAAUUUGACUAUUUAAAGUCGUUUUCGCUAGUGAAACUAUGGUUAUUGGAUAUAUAUUAAAAAACCAAAAAAUUUAAAUUUUACACAAGUUACAUUCAUGAGGUUUUUUUUCUGUAUAUGUCUAAAGUCUAUUCUUUACGGUUUAGGUUUGUUCUUUUUAAUACAAAAGUAAAAAGUUUUCAAUUUCCUCGGGUGUUAUUGCACUUGAGAGACAAAAAAAAACUUGAUAUUAUGAAUAAUUAAAAAAAAAACAAAUUCAUCCUACCAAUAUCUUUUCAAUGUAGGAGUAUGAUAUAUUUAGUUGUUUUUAUCGAUCAGAAAGGAAAACAGGUCGUAGCACCAAUGUUUUAGCUCUGAUUUAUCGAUCAUUACCAGCAACAUAGCGAUGACAUUCCUUAACGAUAUUUCUAAAAUAUUGUAUACCAUUUUAAAAGAUAUCUGGUGUUCGAUAAACAAUUUUUAUUGAAUCUUAUACAACAUCAUAUUUAAAUGGCUUUUUUCUGCUAUGAAUCUUUCAUAAAUUAUACUUUUAUUAUGUUUUCAUAUAAGUAUUGUUACAUGAAUUACGUUCAUAAGGAUUUUUUAGUAUGCCCUUAAACCCUUUAUCAAACGGGUUAAUAUUACUUCAAAAUCUAAAAGUUAGAUGCACACACUUUUUGACUAUUUAAAGUCGUUUUCGCUAGUGAAACUUAUGCUUAUUGGAUAUCUAUUAAAAAAACAAAAAAUUUAAAUUUUACACAAGUUACAUUCAUGAGGUUUUUUUUCUGUAUAUGUCUAAAGUCUAUUCUUUACGGUUUAGGUUUGUUCUUUUUAAUACAAAAGUAAAAAGUUUUCAAUUUCCUCGGGUGUUAUUGCACUUGAGAGACAAAAAAAAACUUGAUAUUAUGAAUAAUUAAAAAAAAACAAAUUCAUCCUACCAAUAUGUUUUCAAUGUAGGAGUAUGAUAUAUUUAGUUGUUUUUAUCGAUCAGAAAGGAAAACAGGUCGUAGCACCAAUGUUUUAGCUCUGAUUUAUCGAUCAUUACCAGCAACAUAGCGAUGACAUUCCUUAACGAUAUUUCUAAAAUAUUGUAUACCAUUUUAAAAGAUAUCUGGUGUUCGAUAAACAAUUCUUAUUGAAUCUUAAACAACAUUACAUUUAAAUGGCUUCUCUCUGCUAUGAAUCUUUGAUUAUUUUUACUCUUAGUAAGAUUUCAUAUAAGUAUUGUUACACGCAUUACGUUCAUAAGGAAUUUUGUAGUAUGGCUUUUAACCCCUUAUCAAACGGGUUUAUUUUUACUUCAAAAUCUAAAAGUUAGAUGCAUACACAAUUUGACUAUUUAAAGUCGUUUUCGCUAGUGAAACUUCUGCUUAUUGGAUAUAUAUUAAAAAACCAAAAAAUUUAAAUUUUACACAAGUUACAUUCAUGAGGUUUUUUUUCUGUAUAUGUCUAAAGUCUAUUCUUUACGGUUUAGGUUUGUUCUUUUUAAAACAAAAGCAAAAAGUUUUCAAUUUCCUCCGGUGUUAUUGCACUUGAGAGAAAAAAAAAACUUGAUAUUAUGAAUAAUUAAAAAAAAACAAAUUCAUCCUACCGAUAUUUUUUCAAUGUAGGAGGACGAUACUUUUAGUUGUUAUUAUCGAUCAGAAAGGAAAACAGGUCGUAGCACCAAUGUUUUAGCUCUGAUUUAUCGAUCAUUACCAGCAACAUA
rnacentral:lncRNA from 1 species